rnacentral:rRNA from 1 species
CGCGUAGGCGGCCGGUUAAGUCAGAUGUGAAAGCCCUGGGCUCAACCUGGGAACUGCAUUUGAUACUGGCUGGCUUGAGUCUGGUAGAGGGGGGUGGAAUUCCAGGUGUAGCGGUGAAAUGCGUAGAGAUCUGGAGGAACACCCGUGGCGAAGGCGGCCCCCUGGACCAAGACUGACGCUGAGGUGCGAAAGCGUGGGGAGCAAACA